rnacentral:rRNA from 1 species
AUUGAACGCUGGCGGCAGGCUUAACACAUGCAAGUCGAGCGGAGAUGAGGUGCUUGCACCUUAUCUUAGCGGCGGACGGGUGAGUAAUGCUUAGGAAUCUGCCUAUUAGUGGGGGACAACAUUCCGAAAGGAAUGCUAAUACCGCAUACGUCCUACGGGAGAAAGCAGGGGAUCUUCAGACCUUGCGCUAAUAGAUGAGCCUAAGUCGGAUUAGCUAGUUGGUGGGGUAAAGGCCUACCAAGGCGACGAUCUGUAGCGGGUCUGAGAGGAUGAUCCGCCACACUGGGACUGAGACACGGCCCAGACUCCUACGGGAGGCAGCAGUGGGGAAUAUUGGACAAUGGGCGAAAGCCUGAUCCAGCCAUGCCGCGUGUGUGAGGAAGGCCUUUUGGUUGUAAAGCACUUUAAGCGAGGAGGAGGCUACCGAGAUUAAUACUCUUGGAUAGUGGACGUUACUCGCAGAAUAAGCACCGGCUAACUCUGUGCCAGCCGCCGCGGUAAAAC